rnacentral:rRNA from 1 species
UGCUGUGAGCUCGAUGAGUAGGGCGGGACACGUGGUAUCCUGUCUGAAUAUGGGGGGACCAUCCUCCAAGGCUAAAUACUCCUGACUGACCGAUAGUGAACCAGUACCGUGAGGGAAAGGCGAAAAGAACCCCGGCGAGGGGAGUGAAAAAGAACCUGAAACCGUGUACGUACAAGCAGUGGGAGCCCCACCACUAAGCCAGUGGUGAACUCCACAUACGCAUCCUUUGCUGAGGAUACGGUUAACGGAGCGAAAGCGACGUUCAACCGCAAAAGAAGCAGAGGGGGCUUAGUGGUGGGGUGACUGCGUACCUUUUGUAUAAUGGGUCAGCGACUUAUAUUCUGUAGCAAGGUUAACCGAAUAGGGGAGCCGGAGGGAAACCGAGUCUUAAUUGGGCGUUAAGUUGCAGGGUAUAGACCCGAAACCCGGUGAUCUAGCCAUGGGCAGGUUGAAGGUUGGGUAACACUAACUGGAGGACCGAACCGACUAAUGUUGAAAAAUUAGCGGAUGACCUGUGGCUGGGGGUGAAAGGCCAAUCAAACCGGGAGAUAGCUGGUUCUCCCCGAAAGCUAUUUAGGUAGCGCCUCGUGAAUUCAUCUCCGGGGGUAGAGCACUGUUUCGGCUAGGGGGCCAUCCCGGCUUACCAACCCGAUGCAAACUGCGAAUACCGGAGAAUGUUAUCACGGGAGACACACGGCGGGUGCUAACGUCCGUCGUGAAGAGGGAAACAACCCAGACCGCCAGCUAAGGUCCCAAAGUCAUGGUUAAGUGGGAAACGAUGUGGGAAGGCCCAGACAGCCAGGAUGUUGGCUUAGAAGCAGCCAUCAUUUAAAGAAAGCGUAAUAGCUCACUGGUCGAGUCGGCCUGCGCGGAAGAUGUAACGGGGCUAAACCAUGCACCGAAGCUGCGGCAGCGACGCUGAUGCGUUGUUGGGUAGGGGAGCGUUCUGUAAGCCUGCGAAGGUGGCCUGUGAGGGUUGCUGGAGGUAUCAGAAGUGCGAAUGCUGACAUAAGUAACGAUAAAGCGGGUGAAAAGCCCGCUCGCCGGAAGACCAAGGGUUCCUGUCCAACGUUAAUCGGGGCAGGGUGAGUCGACCCCUAAGGCGAGGCCGAAAGGCGUAGUCGAUGGGAAACGGGUUAAUAUUCCCGUACUUGGUGUUACUGCGAAGGGGGGACGGAGAAGGCUAUGUUGGCCGGGCGACGGUUGUCCCGGUUUAAGCGUGUAGGUGUGUGUUCCAGGUAAAUCCGGUU